CCUACGGGGGGCAGCAGUGGGGGAUAUUGCACAAUGGAGGAAACUCUGAUGCAGCGACGCCGCGUGAGGGAAGACUGCCCUAUGGGUUGUAAACCUCUUUUGUCAGGGAGCAAUUGGCGCUACGUGUAGCGUUAUCGAGAGUACCUGAAGAAAAAGCAUCGGCUAACUCCGUGCCAACAGCCGCGGUAAUACGGAGGAUGCGAGCGUUAUCCGGAUUUAUUGGGUUUAAAGGGUGCGUAGGCGGAAUGCCAAGUCAGCGGUAAAAUCGCGGGGCUCAACCUCGCUCCGCCGUUGAAACUGGCGUUCUUGAGUGGGCGAGAAGUAUGCGGAAUGCGUGGUGUAGCGGUGAAAUGCAUAGAUAUCACGCAGAACUCCGAUUGCGAAGGCAGCAUACCGGCGCCCAACUGACGCUGAAGCACGAAAGCGUGGGUAUCGAACAGGAUUAGAUACCCGGGUAGUC
rnacentral:rRNA from 1 species